CACUGAUAAGGUUCCAUAUAAAUAUAGAGCGAAAUUUUUAAAAUGACACAAGGUAAUUAUCUAGCAGCUUAGAAAAUGGCGUCAAAGUCAGUGAUUAUCUUCGCUCUCAUCGCAUGCGUAUUAACUGUGACUACUGAUGCUUCAGGACCAUUAAGACGCUACGUUGUAUAUCCGGAAACACCAGACACUAAUGUCGGACCAAAUUAUUCGUCUAACCAACUUAUUGCUGACGAUUCUGCCGUAAACAACAUAGGACAAGGUAUUGCUUCAGGAAAAUAGUAAACAAAAUUUAAGUACACACUGAACAAUAGAAUUGUAUAUUAAACAGUAUGAUCUAUUAAACGUUUUGAUUUUUUGA